AUGUCACUGUGCAUAAUCAGACCAGUUACUGUGCCAGUCCUUUUUGAUGCACUUCUCACGAGUACAGAAGGCCAGUACAGCAGCCCAUACCUUGAUCUACUAGUUGUAAGUGAAAACUUGAAGCAAGUUCCAUAACUGUGCUGAUCAUGUUAUUGAGAUGUGAGUCUGCCCUUCUAAAGUCACAGAAAUAAUAUGAGAGAUGUGUGCAGGUAAGUGUUGUGGUUUGAACUGGCAAGCAGCUAAACAUCACGCAGCUUUUCACACAGGCCUCCCUUCCCCAUAGUUUGGGGAGAGAAUCUGAAAAAAAAAAAAGGUAAAACUCAUGAGUUGAGUUUUACUAAGAAAGAGAAGGAAGAGAGAAGUAAUAGAAAGGAUACUAAUACAUAAGCCAGAACAUAGCAUCAUGCCAGACACUUUGAAGAAAAUCAGCUCUGUCCCAGCUGAAACCAGGAUGGUAAGAAGUUGUGUGUAGAAGUGUGGAGACAGAUUAGUUUUUCACCCUCUUUGGGAGCAAUGCAGAACUAUUUCCUUCUCACAAAUAAGAUGACAAAUGCUUCCCUCAGUCAUUUCAGUGCCAUUCUGUAGUAGGAUACCAUAGAAUCACAAAGUUGGAAAGGAACCCACAAAGAUCAUCUAGUCCAACCAAUGAUCAGCUCCAAAUCCAAGAGAAACUAAGGAUUUAACUGCCAGUGCACCUCAGACAAUUCCACAAUUUGACUGUAUGGCUCUGAAACACACAGUUCUAUAAAGCAUCCUCCAACUUUAAUGCUCUUUAAUCCAAGUAACUGUGGCAUUUUCUGCACAAUCCAUCCUAUAGACUAUCAACACCGUUUCUAAGACAUUUCUAUAUCUUCAAGUCGGGAAGAUGCAUUUUCCUAAAAGAAAGAGCACUACGAAUAGCACAAGAGUCAGUUUGAAAGCAGACACAGACAAACACAAGGACUGAGUCUCAUCACACGUUUCAGUUUGACUGAGCUCUGCUACUGAAGAGUUACCUAAUACAAGAACUUGAGUAAG
rnacentral:lncRNA from 1 species